CAACGGCUCAAGUUAAUUCACCAAUUUUAAUACACCAAAGACCCAAAAUAAAAAAAAAAACCUAAUUCCUCUAACCUUCAGAGAACAUCCGCCCUCCUCCGCCACCGAAAUUACCUCACGGCGGUGCCGGUGAUCCAAACGCCCUCAUCUUUACGCCAUCAAACCCCCACAACCUUCUCAUUCCAAUCCCAUGCUCACCUCCCUUCGAAUCAAGCCCGGAUGCCUCGAAUCUCGAUUUUAAGUCAAGCACCCUAGCCGCCGCCACAAGAUCCCCGGUGGAACCGUCCCAAAUUAACACCCAUUCACCUCCUUGACUCUCUCACCCCAAAUCCAUGACUAGAUUUACUCAAAGUUUACCCUAGAUUCUCGAAUCUUAAAUCCGAGGACGAACCUUACAAAUCCAAAAAAACAAAAAAAAUAGGGAAAUGGAGUCCUCAUCAGCGGAUUGGGUUUAUUUAGACUCUAUUCGUGUGUUUUGCUAAAAACACACAAAUAAGGUCAAGAUGGACCGAAAUUAGAGGAAUUCGAAGAAUUCAAGUCCGGAGCUCAAAUUUGACAAUAAGUCCGUUUACUUCCAAGUUAGUUCUAAUUCUUAUUUUGGUAUUGACAUCUCUUCUUCUUUCCUUUUCUGUUAGUUUGAAAUUUCCAAAAAAAAAUAAUAAAGAAGGGAAUCUGUUUUUAAGUGUGAAACCUGUUCUGAUUGUUUUCUGUUGAUUUUUUUUGCUCCUAAUCACACGACAAUGUCAUUCAAUGUGUUUAGUUGUUUCUUUUGGUCAAUUAUCGAUUUUGAUUAUUAGCUUGACUGCACUGUUUAGCCGAAACUCAUAAUAGUUAAACUCUUAGUCACUGGCUGCUUAUUUGUAUGCUAUAUCGUCUUGUUUGAUAAUUAAGGAGUGUCAGUGAUUUUCCUUAAUUAAGUAGUCAGUUCAGAUGAAACUAAUGAACCGUUAGAAUAAUGAAAUUGGGAACUGUUUAAACUAAUGAAAUAGUUUAAUCAGUAAUGGGGGUUGAUGAUUGUUUAAAACACUGUCAGAAAAAUAGAAAUCACAUGGGCACCAUUUCACAAGGUUUGAAGGAAUUGAAUAGAAAAAUAGGCUGCCGAUACUUAAUUGAAUAGGAAAAUAGGCUGCCCAUACCCCUGUAAUUUAAUAAAGAAAGAAACAAGGGAUUUGUAAAUAAAUUGCUAUCAACUCUCAGAUUCAAGGGAUGAUCUUAAAUACUAAAAUUGACUUCAUGAUUCAGUUAUUAGCCACUUUAGAUAGCUUCACAUGACUGAUUAUGCCAAAUCUAUGUGAUAUAUGAAAUUGAAGUAGUAUUUAAGUAGUACUUUCGAAUGAGCAUAUGGGUAGAAUCUGAUAGUAAAUGUUCACGAUUAUCAAAUUAGCCCAUUAGGUUUGAUAGUUUAACUUAGUUAGUUAUACUUUAGUUUGUUCAAUACACUCAGAAUAUUACAAUGAUUCGUUCAAUGACUGCUUGAUGAAAUCGGAGAGCAUCUUGGUCUGUUUAAUUAAUUGAGCUUGACGGCUCAUUGUUGAAAGUGUAGGAUCAAUUAGGCCAAUUUUCACUUAUUUGGACUUGAUUGAAAGAGUUCAAUUCAUAAUCUAAUACAGUAUAAUUCAAUUCUUAAUAAAUUAGGACUUUUCUUUUAUUUGUAGAGACAGUGAAAAAUAGAAAAUCAUAGAUACUUUUAAGAUGGGUUUUUAAAAAAUGAGAUGAGUGUCGCCAAAUAAAAAUGCAAAUUGUGGUGCCCUCGAUAAUAUUAUAUUAAAAUACUUAGAUUCUGGGACUUUUCCCAAAACAAUGUCGUGUUAGACUCUUUAGGAGCGAUUUAAAUAAAAUUACAUUCUCAAAUACAGGUGUGCAUUUCAUGUGACCCAAAUCCAAAUCAUAAAAUAUUGUAUAAAAAUGAUUCGGGUGCAUUUCAUGUGACGUGAUCCGGAAACAUAUUUUUUAAACGAUGUUUACUUUCUUAAAAAUUUUAAUUAAAGCGGUAAACAAUCUUUAAAAUUGCACAAUAUGAUAACAUGUAUUAAAAUCAUAUAUCAAGCCAUUUAUAAUAGUUUAAGCGUCUGUGCUAGAACUACGGGAUCCGGAGGUGCCUAACACCUUCCAUCGGGUCAACAAAAUUCCUUACUUAGAAUUUCUGGUUCGCAGACUUCACUUGGAAAGUAAAAAAUUUCCUCGAUUUGGGAUUUAAGAUAAACCGGUGACGUGGGACACCAAAAGCCAAUCAUAUCCUAAGUGGAGACUCUAAUAAAUAAAUAAUCUUAUUUCGAAUAAUGUCACUUAAAAUGAAAAAACUCUCGUAUACAUUUAUCCCUCGGGGUAGGUGCGUAAAAAGGAGGUGUGACAGUAUGCACAAGAUUUGUUUGGGUUAACACACUGAUAAAAGCUCUUAGGUGUUUCAGCAGGGAUGGGGGUGACAUAACCAGCAGCGUUGAGUCUCUCAUACAACUAGUCAAUGGGUUCAGCAAUGGCUGUAUAUUGUUUUGGGGGUAUGCAGUCAAAAUUAGGCCGGUGUCUAGGGAAGUUUUGGUGUGCAGGGGGUGAUUGGUAAUGGGGUGGUUGAGCAUUAUAGGUUUGGUAUACAUGAGUGAGUUGGGAGUAUCCGGGUGAAGUAGGUUGGUAUGUAGGAGGUGGAAGUGACUGAUAAGUUGGUGGUGGAGCUUGAUAUGAGGGUGAGGGUGCUUGGUAGUUCAGAUUUGGCUAAUAUGUGAGUGGAGGUGUUAGGUAAGUUUGGUAUUUGAUGAGAGAUUUGGUCCUUUGUGCAACCAUUACGGCCCUCACAUCCCUUUUUUUAGACACACCACCGGACUGUAAAGCCUUAUUGGUAGCUUGCAAGGCCUCGAAGUUUGUAACCAUACUGCUUUUGAUGCAUUCUUCAUUUCUUUUCACCCAAUUUGAUAAUGCCGGAGAAUUUUUGAUUCUCAAUCAUCAUCGGCCGUUCAUAGUACUGUGGGUCCUGACCCCAAACAAAGAACUUGUUUAUCUGCUCCUCUUCUAAGGCAGGUCUAACCUUGGCAGCUUCGGGCCUCUAGCGAGUAGCAUACUCGCGAAAUAUUUCUGUAUGCUUCUUCUUUAGAUUCUGAAUGUAGAACACAUUCAGCACAUUCUCCGUAUUAAACCUGAACCUAUCCAUAAAGUCGGACGUCAUGCCUACGCAACUUGACCACUUCUUUGGAUCUUAGCUCAUGUACUAAGACAAUGCAUCUCUCUUCAGGAAAAGCUUCAUGCGGAUUCUUUCAUCAUUUCAUACUCAAACCAGCUUAUCGCAGUAUGUCCUUAGAUGGACCCUUGGAUCACUCGUACCAUGAAACAUCUCGAACGUAGGGGGUUUGUAGCCCCCGGGCAGUUUGACGUCAGGCUGUAUGCAAAGAUCCUCAUAGUCCAGCACAUCGAUUCCCUUGCUUCCCUCAACGCGCUGAAUUUGGCUAGUCAAUUUCUUAAGUUCCUCAGCCAUAUUUCUGAUAAGCAGAUCAUUUUUUUUGACUUAGGUGUGUUUGAGAUAGGUUGGGUGGAGUGUAGCAUAGUCUCCACAUAGAUAGGGGUGUUAUAGUAGCCGGGUGUAUGGGUAAGGAAAUGGUCCUUUGUGGAGUUUUGAGGUUCUGGGAUGAGUAUUGGGGUGUUGUUUAGGAUAUGGCAGAUGCUGCAUUGGGUUUUAGUGGAACAAUGUGUUGCUUGGGGAUGUUUUACGGAGGUGUAGGGUUUUGAGUGUUGGGAGUUGAUAUCUGGGGUGCUGAGGGGAAAUGACAGGUUUGCCAAAUUCUGAACCUGAUCAAGUCAUUCCUGAAAUUUUAGCAGCUUUUGUUCAAGUUAUGACCCAUUCUCCUUAGGAACCUGAGUACUAUAGCCAUUAGUAGUCUUUACCUGUUCAUUUGGAUUCUCCUUUCUGUUGUUAUUUAGAUUUUUCAUCUUGCUUUUGUUCUUGUUUCUGACAGGACUAAGCAGAGGAGUGGUUAGAGGGCCCCUGGAUCUCAUGGAAUAAGAUAAUUUUGCCAGAGUGUACGAACUAACCUUUAGUGAGUGGAAUAAUAAAAGAAAAAUAGAAAUAGAAAACAAAAAAGGUAAUCAAGUCGGUGAGGAUUAUAAAAAGCAUUGCGGUAUUUAAAUAUGUAGUGUGGGAAUGUAAAGCGUGUCCUAAUUAGGAAACCUAUUUGUGCCUGAGGUAGGUGUAAACAGCUCAGCCCUCUAGUGAUAUUGUCCACAUUGGGCCUAGUCCCUCACUGGUUUAAAAUGCGUCACAAGGGUUAAAAGGCUUGUUAACUUAUAUACCGAACAUCCCUCUUAUGUUUUGCCAAUGUGAUACUCUUUAUUGGGUAUUACACACACCCCCUCUUAUUGACUCAGCAUCCUCACUUAGAUUUGCCCCACCGCAUGGGAUUUUCCUAGACUCGCCACUGAGGUUUGCCCCGCCUAACCGGAAUUUGCCUAAACUCAGUUGAACUCUGACCCACCAUCAGCAAGGCUGACACAAGAGUGGCUCUAAUACCAUCUGUAACAGCCCAGCCCGCUAGUGAUAUUGUCCGUUUUCGGCAUAGGCCCUCAAGGGUUUAAAACGCAUUACUAGGGUUUAAGGUUUGUUAACUUAUAUACCCAAUAUCUCUCUUAUGUUUUGCCGAUGUGGGACUCUGUCUAUAGUCUAGGGUGUUACAUACACCCCCUCUUAUUAACUCAACGUCCUCGCUGAGGUUUGUCUCACCGCAUGGGAUUUUCCUAGACUCAGCACUGAGAUUUGCCCUGCCUAACUGUGAUUUUCCUAAACUCAAUUGAACUCUGACCCACCAUCAGCAAGGCUGACACAAAACCGGCUCUGAUUCUAUCUGUAACAGCCCAGUCCGCUAUUGAUGUUGUCUGCUGAUGUUCAAAAUGUUAAUACCACACAAGAAGGGGCGACGAUUUGUAUGGUACCCAAUUUUUCAAUCUAGAAGAACCUGGUUUUUCUAGGUGUUCUAAUUACUACUGUUGCGGAAUUAAAAGUACAGAAAAUAAAGAAUACAAAUAUUUUUAUAUGGAAAAGACAUGGCUUAAAAGGUGAGUAAAUCACGGCCUACUACUUUAUAGGGUUUUCCCCAACAUCCACUAAAACCAAUAAGCCAAAAUAACAUUUACAGAACUCUUGUAAUCCUAAGGAUUAACUCUAAUCCCUCUGUAGCACACAACCUCAACUAUUGCGAUGCUUUCAAUUUAACUCUAACUUUAAUACUCAAAGUUCCCAAUACAAUUGCUUCUAUGGAUGCUAGAAAGAUACAAUUUUAAACCACCUAUUAUAAUUAAACUAGAAUAUGAAUAAACACAAUGGAACUGGUUCUUUUAUGUCGUUAAAGUAGCUUCAGGAGUGCACACUUAAAUCUCACAUAAAUUGCUUGCAAAAUUGCCUUGCUCUUUUGCUCUAAAUUUAGUUUAACUUCUGCGUAUGUGUAAUACAUGUAAAAGAGAACAAUCACAAUUAUUUAAUGAGUUAGUAAUUAGAGUUUGAUUAAGACUCAAUUUUCGAUCCUUUUAUCGAAUUUGAGUCCUAGAACAAUACAAAUUCCAAUCCUUAUCCUUGAUCCAAAUUAAGUUCUCUUCAAGGAGACUUCAUCUCCUCAUCCUUUACGUAACCUUUUCGAUCAGUUCGGAAGAUAUUACUGCUUGAUCGUUAAGACUUAUCUUCUUCACGUGCAUCUCACAUGUAUAAGUAGAUAACCAUCGUGUCUCACAUGAUGGACUGGUCCAAGACUGAGUUCAUUUGUCAAUCUUCAAAACCUCAUCUGAACUUGGGCCAACAAAAUUUCCCAUUUUUGAUGAUGACAAACUAUGUGAUUUUACUAAUCAUAGAACAUGUGGAACUCAGUUGAAUUAUCAACCUUUUAACUUAGAAAUAUUAACUUAUCAUUAAAGACCAGGUUUAAUCAGGUUAUAAAUAUCACUUUAUUUCAGAAUAAAAAAUAAAGCACAUUAUCUCUAUCCCCUUUAGACAUCAUCGAAAAGUUGCAUCUAAUGUGACUCCUAGAUUUUAAUCAUUACUCAUGGCCACUGGUGCAACUGCAAGUGAAAGCAUGGUUUAGUUAAUCAAUAAUCAACUUGACAAAUAUCUUUUAUUAAGAUCAGAAUCUUCAUAAAGCAAGAGAAAAAGUAAAUUUUCAUUGAUUAGGAAAUGUUUCUACAAAUCUGACCACAAAAAGAAAGAAAAAACAUCCAACCAUGACCAAUAAAAACAAAGAAAAGUCUGGAAUUUAGGUCACUGGAGAGGGGGAGGGUUCUAGACUGGUUCAAAGAUAGGAACUGGAAGACCUAAGGCUUAGAGGAACUAGAGGGUUGGGAUUGGAUAAGAUUAAGCAUAGUCAGAAACAUCCCUUCACUCAUUUCCUUUUCCUUUGCUAGCCCAGCUUACUGUCCAUUUCUCGCAUUUUCCAGUUCAACAACACAAGCCUUGAGCCUAACAAUUUCAUAAUCUUUUGUUCCACAUUCUUGAACCAAGGCCCUAACCUUGCUUUUCACAGGAGUACUCAGAGAUGAACCAGGUUCAAUUGGGAUACAAUGAGGACAUAGUCACAAGCCUACAAAGUUUUGACACCAAAAUGCUCCUUGCAGGAAGCCAUCUCCCAUUUCUUCAAGGGAACAUUCAGCCUAUCCAGAACAGUCGUCAGUAUAAACCCUCAUGGAGUAGCAUGAGCCUUUGAGCCAUUGAUGACUCUGUCCAGCAUCUUGACAAUGAAAGUAGACCAGUUAAGCUACUUUCCUCUCACAAGGCAUUCCAGAAGAACCAAGUUCAUGUAAUUAGCAUUAUGCCUUUUUUCUGUCUGGGCAGCAAGCAUUUGUUCACAAAUCCAAAUAGCACCUUGUGCUCAGGCUUCAUCUCACUCUUCUGCACAAACCUUGCCUCAGGCCCAUCUUCAGCAGAUUCUUUAUCACAGAAGUUUCUGGUGAUUUGGAGAGCAGUAGUAAGAUCAUCUAGAUAAGGCCACCUCUACCUAGUAUAGUCAUCAUAACCCUCACUGGGUAUGUCAAGAAUCUUUCCCAAUUUAGGUGCAUCAAAAUGCACCUUUACUCCCCUCACCAAGAUGGUGACUACCCCAUUUUUCACAGUGGCAUUGGCCAUGAACUCAAUCAGCUCCUUCCCGGCCAGCCUCUCACCCAUUUAAAGGACCAUGUCCUUCCACCCUUGUGCAUCCAGGGCAUCCACCAAUCUUAUCAUACGUGGCUCCUCCAGGUCCUUCAACAACCUGCUUUUCAAAAUCUUUCUCCUACCAAAGAUGGAAAAUCUAUCAUGUUCUUUCUCAAACUCCUCCUCUUCUUCCUCUCUAUUCCAUUCUUCUUUUUCUUCUUCAGUAAUUUUUACCUAUUUCCCCUUCACUGCAGACCUGGUUCUUUUGGCUAAGGAGGGUUCAGGAGAUACAGAGAACUCAAUCAAUUCCUUCCUUGCUAGCCUUCCAUCCAUUUGAAGAAUCGUGUCCUUCCACCCUUGUGCAUCUAGGGCAUCCACCAAUCCUCCUCUUCUUAUUAUCCAAUUCAUUCUUCUUAUUCUUCUUCGGUAAUUUUUACUUGUUUCCCCUUCCCUGCAGACCUGGUUCUUUUGGCUAAAGAGGGUUCAGCAGAUACACAUUCUGAAGACUUCUUUGAAGAAGUCUUGGUUAUUUUUUAUUUAGAAGUGGGAACCUCCAAAAUUAUACCUCUUUCUUGAUGGAUCAGUUCCAUCUCCUCCUCCUCCUCUUCUGCAGCUUCAGAGCUUUCCACAACAUUUGCUUUUCCCUUCUCCUUCUUCUUUUUCCUACUUCUUCUAAAGCUUUCUACUACUCUGCCCCACUUUGCUUGACCCUGCUCCUAGUAGCUCUUCUCUUAGGUAAUGAAGGGACAGUAGACUUAGGAGAUGACAUCUUGAUUUUCUUUGUUGGCUUGGAAGCAGUUGGAGUACUUUGGGAAGAAGCAUUGUGCUUCUUUGGAUCAUAGAUGGCCCCAACCUUUCUCUGGGAUGUCAGCUAGGGUUUCUUCAACAGAUGAACCAGGUUCAUCUCGCUGCUCACUCAAAUGGACAAGACUAUCAACAGCCUCCCCGGACUCACUUCCCCUUGACUUCUUGCCACUCCCCUCUACCCAUCCACAAAUUACAAGAACUUUGUCUUUCUUUUUCUUUCCCCUUUUACUAGACUCAGCCCCCUUUAAAUCGUUCACAGAACCAACCAACACAAACCUAUUAUCCACCUUUUCUACUACAUCAGAGAAUACAAGACAAGUAUUUACCUUACCAGGGAUUUCUUGAUUUUUGUUAGUAUCAGAAGACCCAUGUUCUUCUCCUUCACUAGCAGAGAUGAAUGCUUCAGACUCAGAGCUUGAGUCAGAUUCUUUAACAGGGAUCUCUUUCUUCUACUAGCCCUCAAUUUUCAUUCAAAAGCUUUUCUCAGAGAACCGAAAACUACUGUUUUUCUGGCCAACAUUUUUUGCCUGCGAAACCUAGGUUUUGGGUUUCAAUAAGAGGUGUGGAUAAGGAUGUAUUAGGAGAUAUUGGUGGGGGAGUGCCUAGAUUAUCUUGAGGGUUUAUCAUGGUGAAGUAUUUCUAGGGAAUGUUGGAGAGAAAGAGGAUUAUCAGAAUUUGGGAGAGAUUAAUGACAGCUAUGGACUAAAAAGGAGGAUGUGGAGUGUUUUUAAAGAAGAUUAUGAUUAAAUGCAGUAAUGAAAGCCUUUUUUCAGUAGUCAAUCAAUAGGCGACGCUAGUUUAUAGGAAAGAAUCAUGUUUUCCUUAGAGUUCAAGGAGAAUGAAACUGGUUCAAUGCUCACGGAUAUAAUUUCUGAGAGUUUGGUGAAAAUAGGACUUCUGCUCAUGAUUGGAAAAUUAAUAUUUCUAAUUGUGCAAAGAAUAGAAACUUGCCUGAACUUUCUCAUGAGUAUAUACUGAUGAACCAGGUUCUUCAAGUAGAACUUCUCUUGUUUAUGCCUCAAAUGUAAGAAUAGAAAAAAACUUUGUAAGAGAUCGGUGAGUCAAUAUAAACACAUGUCACGGGAAUAUACUAAUUAAAGUAUGAGACUGAGUAAGAAUUAGUCUAGAUAUUUACACAAAAUAGAAGUUCUGACCAAAAAAAUCAUUUUUUCAUCUUGCAUUCUGAACUGGACCUUUUAGGUGCUCUUAAUCAUCCCUAAUUCCAACUUGUUCCUCUCAAAGUUUUUCCUACUCAGUGCUUUUGUGAAUAUAUCAGCUAUUUGUUUAUCAAUAGCACAGAAUUCUAUUGAAAUCAAUCAUUUCUCAUAGUUAUCUCUUAAGAAGUGGUGUCUAAUAUCUAUGUGCUUAGUCCUUUUAUGAUAAACAUGGUUCUUUAUCAUACUUAUAGCACUAGUGUUAUCACAGAAUAUUGGUAUAUAUCCCACUUCAAUUCCAAAAUUUACUAGUUAUUGUUUGAUCCAUAGAAAUUGAGCAUAACAAGAACCAGCAACAACAUAUUCAGUUUUAAUAGUAGAUAGGGCUACUGAAUUUUGCUUUUUGGUAGCCCAUGACACAAGACAUGAACAAAGGAAGUGUGCCAUACCUAAGUUGUUCUUCCUAUCCACAAGGAAACAUGCAUAAUCAGCAUCAGCAUAUCCUACUAGAUUGAAAUUACUACCAUUGGAAUACCAAAGACACAAAUCAGUGGUGCCUUUCGGAUAUCUCAAUAUCCUCUUCACAACAGCCAAAUGAGACUCUUUUGGAUUUGCCUGAUAAUGAGCACAAAGCCCUACCCAAAAAAUAUGUCAGGUCUGCUGGCAGUAAGAUACAAGAGUUAACCAAUCACCCCUAUAUAACUUCUGAUCAACUGAUGAACCAGGUUCAUCAACAUCUAAUUUAGUGGCAGUUGCAAUAGAUGCAUCUAUUUCUUUAUAGUCCUCCAACUUAUCCAGCAGAUGGAUGAUAAAGCAAGUGAUAGAUAUGGAGAAGGUGGCACUGGUUUUUGAAUGGACAAGUAACAAGUAUGCACUCGCUAGUAACAAUAAAUUGAUUAGUUUUUUAUAUACUUCUGCUCAUGGAUCAUGGUUCCAUUUGGACUUUGUUUGAUCUGCAAGCCUAAGAAGAAGUUAUGUUCACUCAUCAUGCUCUUUUCAAACUCACUCACCAUUAGUUUUGCAAAGUCCUUACUCAACCUAUCAGUAGUGGUCCCAAAUAUUAUGUCAUCAAUAUAUAUUUGCACAACAUAUAUUUACCUUUUUCCCUUAACAACAAGGUACUGUUAAUUUUACCUCUUUUGUAACCAUGCUCCAGUAGGAAUUUUGAUAGACAUUCAUACCAAGCUCUUGGGGCCUGCUAUUGAUACCCAAUUUUCUCCCAUGUAUUUUUGUAUGCAAAAUACCUUCAAAAUAACAUAUAUAUGCAUAUAUAAGCAUACCCAAGUAUUUUAGUAUUUUUCCUAAUUUUUAAUGAUUUUCAAAAUCAAUUUACGGUCUAUUUUAGCGGUACAAAAAUCUAAUAAUUAUUUCCAAAAUUAUUAUUUUGUUGAAUAACUUAUUUUUUUCUCAUAUUUACACUAAAAUACAAUUAAGGUAAUUUUUGCAUAUUUUUACAAAUUUAUUUGAUAUUUUAAUGCUUAAUUGCAAUUAUAGCCUAUAUUACGAUUAAUAGCGUUUUACAAUAAUAAAGUUAUUUCCACUAUUUUUAGAUUAAUUUUUACAUAUUGUUAAUUAGUUAUGGUUCUUUCAAUUUGUUUUAAAAUCAUUUUACUAUUUUUUAUAAAUAAAAAGGGUAAAAUGGCUAUUUGACAUUUGGCCUCAUUUAUUUAAAUGACAGCCUCAAUACAUUGCAAUUAUAGACGCAAUUUGAUUCAAUUAGACCAACUCAAUUCCCAUUUGGACCCAAAUCGUGACACAAUUUAAAACGACAUGUCCGGUCCCUACUAUUGAUCCAGACUGUUGAUCAUUUUGAUCAACGGUCAUAAAUCAUGCUUACCUUUUUUUUAACUUCAAAUGACUAACCCUAACCCUCAUUUCACAUGCCCCAGCCGCCUCUGAAUCCCUCCUAUCUUAGUUCUCCCUCAACUCCCCCUCAAACCCUAGCCGCCUUCUACCAUCUUCAUAGUUAAACUCACUGGAGUCCAUGGCUUCUCAGUCCAUGGACAGCCUAUACUCACCUCCUACGGCUCCUACAUGCCUGAUGCUCAAAGGUUCGAGGCUAGACUUCGAGGGUCUUCACUCAGACCUUCACCGAUUUGAGGAUUCUGGCCACCCCCGGCCUUUCUCCGGUGGCUCGUAGUCUUCUGAGCUUGUUUCUGACCUUAUCCGACUUAGAUCGGACCUUUUCCAAGCCUUUCUCGCUCUAGAGUUCUUCUAAAACCCUAACUAUUCAAUGUUUCCUUUGAUUUUCUUAGAUUUGUUGUGUAUCCAUGCUCUAUUUGAGUUUUCAAAUGAUUUUCCCAACUUUUCUUUCAAAGUUUACUUCUUCCCGAUUUAGGGUUUUCUGAAAAUUUUCAAAAUGUUUCUCUGACUUUUCUUUGCCUUUCCUUUGUGUGUUUUUGUCUAUUCUUAUGUUUUCUUUCAUACCACGCAUGUUCUUCUACCGCGUUCUUAUAUUUUCCCUUUAUCACGCAUAUUCUUCUACUGUGUUUCGUUCUUUCUUCUUAUGUGUUUUCUAUGUUAUGUUCUCACAUGAUUCUCCACUAUGUUUUGCUAUUUUUCUGAUUUGCUUUGCCUAUUGUAUCCUUCUACCAUGUUCUUAAGUGUUCAUUGUCUUCUCUUCUGCUUUACCUAUUUUAAGUUUCUUCUAAAAGACUUGUUUAAAGCAUACUUUCUUCUAUUGUUUCCUCUACUCUCAUUAUGCUUCGAAUCAGUUUCUUCACUCUAUUUGCUUUGAACUUUCUACUGCACUUGUUUGUUUUCUCAUGAGUCUCUGAAUGAGAUCUCUGAGCUUAUUUCAACUACUUGCAUCUGUAUUUGGUUAAAGGCGGAAACCCUAGAAUUUGGGGGUUCUGCCAAGGUUUAAUCCUGUGAUUAAACUAGGGUUUAUAGAACCCUUGACUCUUUCAGAUUAAGUUCUGAGUCUCUGAAUUAGGUUAUAACUUCUUUGUUUUUAUACAAUUUUGAUUCUCCUACACUAGACUCUUUUGUUGAAUAGCAUGAUAAAUUCUUUCGUGUUUAAGCAUGCUUGUGUGCUUUACAUUUGUGUUGAAUCCUUCUUUAAAAGGUUUUCAAACCUAUGAUUGAAUUAAAAUCUUUUUUUUAGGUUUAAUUGAUUGUUGUUGAUCUUCCUUAAGUAAAACCUUUUCUUCACCUUCUCUGACUGGGUUUAUUCAUAUAAGAUCUUUGACUUCUGAUUUUUCGGUUGUUAACUGAUUCCAUUACCUUAUUUUCAUGAACCGUGUAUUGUCAAGACCUUGUCCUUAAAUAGACCUUUAUGUACUUACCCCUAUUAUACUACCUUACAUAAAGUGUUUGAUUAAUUUAGUUCCUUAAUUAGUUUUAUCGUUUGAAAGCAGAAUCCCUUAAUUAAAGGAAACCUUGUGUAAUUGACUGACAAUCGAUUUUCAAACUAUUCUCUUACCUUAUUUCUGCUUGACUUCUACACUAUUAAAAGCACGACCUCUUUUUCAUAAACACACUUUCAAUACACAAUUGAAUACACUUCAGACUUCACACUUAUAUUUCUUACCACCUCUUCUAAACUUUCUAUUCUUUACUCUGACUUUCACAAGACUACUGCUUUAUUUUUCUUGUCUCUUUUAAAAUCGACAUGUCUUAAUUCAAUUCACAUUAUCAUCCCAAUGUGUUUGCUAAUAGUUUUUAUAUCUGUGUUUUACUUUUUGCAGAGAUUGACAUGUUCAUAUGUUACUGGUUGCUUUACUUGUAAACAUUUUCUCCAUAUCCCAUUGCCAUAUAUAUGUGAUAAUAGGGAAAUUUAGGUGAUUUAGCCAUUGUUUGUGCCUCUACUUGAUUAUAUUCCAAUUGUAUAUUAUGAUUAAUUGCUGAAAGAUGGGAUCUAAUAGCGAAUUGUACGUUUUGGAGGUUAAGGAGCCUAUUUGGUGAAAGAAAAUGUUGAAUGGAAUCAUACACGAGCAAUUGAGACCCCUCGGGACUAAAUGGGACCAAAGAGAACUCAAGAAAAUGAAAAAGUUGAACACCUAGGCAUGCGCGCCCGCGAACGUAUAUGCGCGUCCAUUACAGAGAGCAGACGACAUGUGCGGCCAGGUGCGCGGCCCAAUGCACGCCCGCGCAUGUCCGGAAAAUUGCGAUUCAAAGUUAGGGGCAAAUAUGGAAAUCUGGGAAAAGUCCACUUAACCAAUAUAAAGUCAUGCUCACCCAAGGUCAAUUUAUCAAGGUUUUUCAUAAGGUUUUGCAAGGAUUAGAGAGGAAAGAGGCAAGGAGAAUUUUGGAUCAUCAAAGUCUUCUUUUCUGCUCUUUGUUUCUGCCAAUUGUGAUGAUAUUGAACCUAGUUAUGUUGAACAAUACUAUGAGUGGCUAGAACUCAUUGUUCUAGGAUCAUGGGUAUUAUAUGAAUGUUGUUGUUUGAAGUUUGAUUCGACGAAGCCGGUUUAUCAUAUUGGGUGAUUUAUUUAAUUUUGAUUUU
rnacentral:lncRNA from 1 species